rnacentral:rRNA from 2 species
CUGGAGGUAUCAGAAGUGCGAAUGCUGACAUAAGUAACGAUAAAGCGGGUGAAAAGCCCGCUCGCCGGAAGACCAAGGGUUCCUGUCCAACGUUAAUCGGGGCAGGGUGAGUCGACCCCUAAGGCGAGGCCGAAAGGCGUAGUCGAUGGGAAACGGGUUAAUAUUCCCGUACUUGGUGUUACUGCGAAGGGGGGACGGAGAAGGCUAUGUUGGCCGGGCGACGGUUGUCCCGGUUUAAGCGUGUAGGUGUGUGUUCCAGGUAAAUCCGGUUCACUUUAACACUGAGGCGUGAUGACGAGGCACUACGGUGCUGAAGCAACAAAUGCCCUGCUUCCAGGAAAAGCCUCUAAGCAUCAGGUAACAUCAAAUCGUACCCCAAACCGACACAGGUGGUCAGGUAGAGAAUACCAAGGCGCUUGAGAGAACUCGGGUGAAGGAACUAGGCAAAAUGGUGCCGUAACUUCGGGAGAAGGCACGCUGACACGUAGGUGAAGUGAUUUACUCACGGAGCUGAAGUCAGUCGAAGAUACCAGCUGGCUGCAACUGUUUAUUAAAAACACAGCACUGUGCAAACACGAAAGUGGACGUAUACGGUGUGACGCCUGCCCGGUGCCGGAAGGUUAAUUGAUGGGGUCAGCGCAAGCGAAGCUCCUGAUCGAAGCCCCGGUAAACGGCGGCCGUAACUAUAACGGUCCUAAGGUAGCGAAAUUCCUUGUCGGGUAAGUUCCGACCUGCACGAAUGGCGUAAUGAUGGCCAGGCUGUCUCCACCCGAGACUCAGUGAAAUUGAACUCGCUGUGAAGAUGCAGUGUACCCGCGGCAAGACGGAAAGACCCCGUGAACCUUUACUAUAGCUUGACACUGAACAUUGAGCCUUGAUGUGUAGGAUAGGUGGGAGGCUUUGAAGUGUGGACGCCAGUCUGCAUGGAGCCGACCUUGAAAUACCACCCUUUAAUGUUUGAUGUUCUAACGUGGACCCGUAAUCCGGGUUGCGGACAGUGUCUGGUGGGUAGUUUGACUGGGGCGGUCUCCUCCUAAAGAGUAACGGAGGAGCACGAAGGUUGGCUAAUCCUGGUCGGACAUCAGGAGGUUAGUGCAAUGGCAUAAGCCAGCUUGACUGCGAGCGUGACGGCGCGAGCAGGUGCGAAAGCAGGUCAUAGUGAUCCGGUGGUUCUGAAUGGAAGGGCCAUCGCUCAACGGAUAAAAGGUACUCCGGGGAUAACAGGCUGAUACCGCCCAAGAGUUCAUAUCGACGGCGGUGUUUGGCACCUCGAUGUCGGCUCAUCACAUCCUGGGGCUGAAGUAGGUCCCAAGGGUAUGGCUGUUCGCCAUUUAAAGUGGUACGCGAGCUGGGUUUAGAACGUCGUGAGACAGUUCGGUCCCUAUCUGCCGUGGGCGCUGGAGAACUGAGGGGGGCUGCUCCUAGUACGAGAGGACCGGAGUGGACGCAUCACUGGUGUUCGGGUUGUCAUGCCAAUGGCACUGCCCGGUAGCUAAAUGCGGAAGAGAUAAGUGCUGAAAGCAUCUAAGCACGAAACUUGCCCCGA